rnacentral:rRNA from 1 species
UACGGGAGGCAGCAGGGGGAAUAUUGCACAAUGGGCGAAAGCCUGAUGCAGCUAUGCCGCGUGUAUGAAGAAGGCCUUAGGGUUGUAAAGUACUUUCAUCGGGGAGGAAAAAACAAAACUAAUAAUUUUAUUUCUUGACGUUACCCGAAAAAGAAGCACCGGCUAACUCCGUGCCAGCAGCCGCGGUAAUACGGAGGGUGCUAGCGUUAAUCAGAAUUACUGGGCGUAAAGAGCACGUAGGUGGUUUUUUUAAAGUCAGAUGUGAAAUCCCUGGGCUUAACCUGGAACUGCAUUUUGAAACUGAAAUACUAGAGUAUCGUAGAGGGAGGUAGAAUUCUAGGUGUAGCGGUGAAAUGCGUAGAUAUCUGGAGGAAUACCUGUGGCGAAAGCGGCCUCCUAAACGAAUACUGACACUGAGGGUGCGAAAAGCGUGGGGAGCAAAACAGGGAUUAGAUACCCGU